UUGACAACCCUGAAGAGUGAAGUUCUCUUACCCUCAGUACAAGUAUCACGAAAUUGUCCGUUUUCCUGACACAUUUUGCCUAUAGGCUUCAAGCGUAAUCUGGCAUGACCAUCAUUAGAGAGGUUCAGUCUCCAUGCUCAUUCGGUUCUUGGCCUUU
rnacentral:sRNA from 1 species